rnacentral:misc_RNA from 1 species
GCCCUUUUCAACUGCAGAUCAUGGGUGGCCCAUUUCAGAUUGUACUGCAGAGGGACUUAAGGCAGUUCUUCUAUUAUCAAAGCUACCAUCAGAGAUGGUCGGUAAUCCAUUGGAGGCGAAGCGCUUGUAUGAUGCUGUAAAUGUUUUGCUUUCUUUACAGAAUAGCGGUGGUGGCUUUGCAACAUAUGAACUCUCAAGGUCAUAUCCAUGGUUGGAGCUAAUCAACCCUGCUGAGACUUUUGGAGAUAUUGUUAUUGAUUACCCUUAUGUAGAGUGUUCCUCAGCUGCAAUUCAAGCUUUAACAGCAUUUAAGAAAUUAUACCCUGGCCAUCGUAAGGAAGAAGUCGAACGCUGUAUUGCUAAAGCUGCCGCCUUCAUUGAAUCAAUUCAAGAAACAGAUGGCUCAUGGUAUGGCUCUUGGGCAGUUUGCUUCACCUAUGGCACUUGGUUUGGGGUGCUUGGCUUGCUAGCUGCGGGAAGGAACUACAAUAAUUCUUCCAGCAUCCGCAAGGCAUGUACGUUUUUGUUGUCUAAACAAGUCUCAUCUGGUGGCUGGGGGGAAAGUUAUCUGUCAUGUCAAAAUAAGGUGUAUACAAAUCUUGAAGGCAACAGAUCUCAUGUUGUAAAUACAGCAUGGGCUAUGCUGGCUCUAAUUGCUGCUGGACAGGCUGAGAGAAAUCCAACACCAUUACACUCUGCAGCAAAAGAAUUAAUAAAUGCUCAGCAAGAAAAUGGAGAUUACCCUCAGCAGGAGAUCAUGGGAGUCUUCAAUAGGAACUGCAUGAUAUCAUAUUCUGCAUAUAGGAACAUAUUUCCUAUUUGGGCAUUGGGAGAAUAUCGCGCUCAUGUACUCAGCUAAUUGAGUUGCAAUUCCAGAUGAUACUUCAAAACUCGACUCUUAUCUUUUUAUAGUCCCAUCUUUAACUUGUUAGAUACACAAUAAAUGAGUUGGUUAAUUUACGUUAUUUUGUAACUUAU